GUUGAACGCUGGCGGCAUGCCUAACACAUGCAAGUCGAACGGAGAUAGGGGCAACCUUAUUUCAGUGGCGGACGGGUGAGGAAUGCGUCGGAAUCUGCCCUAUGGUGGGGGAUAACACAGGGAAACUUGUGCUAAUACCGCAUAAUGUCGAGAGACCAAAGCAGGGGACCGCAAAGGGCCUUGCGCGAUAGGAUGAGCCGAGCCCGAUUAGCUUGUGGUAGGGUAAUGGCCUACCAAGGCGACGAUCGGUAGCUGGUCUGAGAGGAUGAUCAGCCACACUGGGACUGAGACACGGCCCAGACUCCUACGGGAGGCAGCAGUGGGGAAUAUUGGACAAUGGGCGCAAGCCUGAUCCAGCAAUGCCGCGUGUGUGAAGAAGGCCUGCGGGUUGUAAAGCAC
rnacentral:rRNA from 1 species